ensembl:misc_RNA
UUUGCAGCUUUAGAUUGUGGUCAGAGACUGUUACAAAAUCUUUUAUGUUCUAUGAUGGGUCAUGUGCAUCGAAAGCAUGGUGGUUCAGUUUAUGAAUAUAUAAAAGGGCAAUUUUUUGAUUAAUGUCAGCUUUGAGUUUAGAAGGUAUCCCAGACAUCUUAGUUGCCCUUAAUUAUUUUUGGAGAUAUUUUUCUCAGCCAUUAAUAAAGCAAU